rnacentral:rRNA from 1 species
AGGGUUUGAUUAUGGCUCAGAACGUACGCUGGCGGCACGCCUAACACAUGCAAGUCGAACGAAGUAGCAAUACUUAGUGGCAGACGGGUGAGUAACAUGUAGGUAUCUGCCCUUUGGCCUGGAAUAACACGGGGAAACCUGUGCUAAUACCUCAUAAGUCUUUACAGAGAAAGCUUUAUGCGCCAUUGGAUGAGCCUGCAUUUGAUUAGUUUGUUGGUGGGGUAAUGGCCUACCAAGACUGUGAUCAAUAGCUGAUCUGAGAGGAUGAUCAGCCACAUUGGGACUGAGACACGGCCCAAACUCCUACGGGAGGCAGCAGUAGGGAAUAUUGCACAAUGGAGGAAACUCUGAUGCAGCGAUGCCGCGUGAGUGAAGAAGGCCUUUGGGUUGUAAAGCUCUUUCGUCGGGGAAGAAAAUGACUGUACCCGAAUAAGAAGGUCCGGCUAACUUCGUGCCAGCAGCCGCGGUAAUAC